rnacentral:rRNA from 1 species
UACGUAGGGUGCGAGCGUUAAUCGGAAUUACUGGGCGUAAAGCGUGCGUAGGCGGUUCGUUAAGUUCGUUGUGAAAGCCCCGGGCUCAACCUGGGAAUGGCAAUGGAAACUGGCGGGCUGGAGUAUGGCAGAGGGGGGUGGAAUUCCGCGUGUAGCAGUGAAAUGCGUAGAUAUGCGGAGGAACACCGAUGGCGAAGGCAGUCCCCUGGGCCUGUACUGACGCUCAUGCACGAAAGCGUGGGGAGCAAACAGG